AUUGAACGCUGGCGGCAGGCCUAACACAUGCAAGUCGGACGGUAGCACAGAGGAGCUUGUUCCCUGGGGGACGAGUGGCGGACGGGUGAGUAAUGUCUGGGGAUCUGCCCGAUAGAGGGGGAUAACCACUGGAAACGGUGGCUAAUACCGCAUAACGUCGCAAGACCAAAGAGGGGGACCUUCGGGCCUACCACUAUCGGAUGAACCCAGAUUGGAGUAGCUAGUAGGCGGGGUAAUGGCCCACCUAGGCGACGAUCCCUAGCUGGUCUGAGAGGAUGACCAGCCACACUGGAACUGAGACACGGUCCAGACUCCUACGGGAGGCAGCAGUGGGGAAUAUUGCACAAUGGGCGCAAGCCUGAUGCAGCCAUGCCGCGUGUAUGAAGAAGGCCUUCGGGUUGUAAAGUACUUUCAGCGGGGAGGAAGGCGGUGAGGUUAAUAACCUCGCCGAUUGACGUUACCCGCAGAAGAAGCACCGGCUAACUCCGUGCCAGCCGCCGCAGUAA
rnacentral:rRNA from 1 species